GUACACACCGCCCGUCGCUAUUACCGAUUGAGUGUAAAGGUGAACCUUCUCGAUAGACGCAAGUUUAGAAAUUAAGUAAACCUUKRCACUUAGAGGAAAUAAAAGUCGUAACAAGGUUUCCGUAGGUAACCUGCAGAAGGAUCA
rnacentral:rRNA from 1 species